CCUACGGGAGGCAGCAGUAGGGAAUAUUGCACAAUGGGGGAAACCCUGAUGCAGCAACGCCGCGUGAGUGAAGAAGGCCCUUGGGUCGUAAAGCUCUUUAGCGAGGGAAGCGGUACCUCGAGAAUAAGCACCGGCUAAUUUCGUGCCAGCAGCCGCGGUAAUACGAAAGGUGCAAGCGUUACUCGGAAUCACUGGGCGUAAAGCGCACGUAGGCGGACUCGUAGGUCAAUUGUGAAAUACCUGGGCUCAACCCAGGAACUGCAGUUGAAACCGCUUGUCUUGAAUACCUGAGAGGGUGGGGGAAUACCUGGUGGAGAAGUGAAAUUCGUAGAGAUCAGGUGGAACACCGGAGGCGAAGCGCCUGCCUGGAGGUAUUGACGCUGAGGUGCGAAAGUGCGGGGAGCAAACAGGAUUAGAUACCCUUGUAGUC
rnacentral:rRNA from 1 species